rnacentral:misc_RNA from 1 species
GACGGACUGAGUAAACUGGUGUUCUUAUGCCCCUGGUAAAACUGGCUCAAAUUCACCGUACUGAACCGCUGAUCUUCGUAGAAGGCGUUAACCUCAAUAGCGUCGUAGUAGAUCCCGAUCCUCCGAUUCGGAUUUCUGGCGGUGAUAUUCAGAGCGAGAUUGUAAUGGAGGUUGUUAUUGUUAGGCGUAGUGAGAUUGAACUGCGUGAGAGAG